GCGCCCUUUUUGUUUUGCACAACACGAAAGAGGAAAACACGCCAAAGAAUCUGCAAAGCAAAACAAAAACGCCGUCAGUUCGGUUCGAUUUCGAUCCGGAGCGGGUUCUUGAACGGUCUCGGUCGUCGCGAGUGAGUUUCUUCAAAGUGUUUUCUAGUUGAAGUUAUCAAUUAUCACAAGACUGCGAAAUAUUUGUCGGUUCUUUAGAAUCAGUCAGCAGUGGAUUCAGCAAAAAGGUCCCUCUCUCUCUCUUACACUUUCUUGGAGUGCUGAUGAAUCGCCGACUCAACGCGUAGCAGUGCAGAGCCAGCAGAGAGUGUUCGUCACAGCUAACUGAACCAAAGAGUGCGGCACGGUACCACAACUAAACAACAUCGCGUCGGCAGUAGCUUAUAGUGCGGUCGCAGGUGGUUUUGAACGGACGUAAUUGCGAAUCGAUAUGAAAUCAGGAAGAGAGGAAAAUUAAGGGAUUUUUUAUGCAUUUUUUGAAGAAAGGUUUGGAAAGCUGAUUUGAGGAAGAUUUCAGUGCUCAAAAAGUUCAUAGUGAGGCCGUUCUUUGUUCAAAACAAGGUGCACUUGAUGGAUAAGGCUCUCUUAUCAGUGGUUCACGUAUUUGUGUCAACCCCGAAAGGUGUGUAAAUACUAAAUUUACACCACACUUGGUGGUAGUCCGCUCUAUACACGUGUGUAUUACGCUUCAUAUAGCUAAAGGUGAACUCGUCGUAGAGAGAGCACACUUGUUGAAAAUUGUUUGUGAUACAAAUCGCGAUAGAAGAUCGAAAACCAAAAGGCAAGUCUGCUUGAGGAUGGUGCUAAUUUAGAAAACAGCUCAGUUCUAGUGAAAACAACUCAACAUUAGCACACACGAAAGUAGUUAGGAGAAGACACAAGGUCGCGUGAAAAACCAUGUCAAUAAGUGGAGGUGAUGGCCAUGGCCGUGACGGCUUGGCGGUGGAAAAAUCGAUAGUCCUCCCCCGGCAGGCGCCGCCGAGGAGGACAACAACGUCGAAAUUGAUAACAACUUCUUCGGUUCAGCUGUUUCUGACGGUGGCGUUGGUGGCAGCGGUGGCCUUGCUUCCUGCAGGAUCGCUCGGGAGCAGUCUCGUCCUCAACAGCAAAAACUGCCUCGUCCAGGAACCGCUGUACAACAUCACCUUCAACCUCACAACGCUUGACUCGGACCUGGUGCACCACAUCAAAUCGGACAUUGGUGAAACGUUCACCUUCGACGUGUGCGACCACCUGAAGCGGCCCUGCAACGGCGUGUCCGGCGGUGCCGCCUGUCUUCUGCGCCAGGACAAAUCUGAGGUGCUGCUGGCCCGGGAAUCUACGCUGCAGCUGAUCGAUGGCCGGUUGCACUUUAACUUUAGCGGCGGGGAUGCCUGCAGGAACGGGAAGAACUACUCGCUGGAUAUUAUUCUGAUGUGCAGCUACGCGCCGGAACCGGAACCGAUGAGUGUGGUGCCGUACUCGGACGAUCAGUGCAAUUACUUUAUCUUUUGGCGAACGAAGCACGCUUGCGCGCCACUUCCGGAGAGGUUGCGGGCGAAUGAGUGUGCCGUGCGGGAUCCUUCCGGUCACGUGUUCAACCUGCUUCCGCUGAGUCAGCUAAACCAUCGAGUUCCGGAUCGGAAUGGGUCGCAUUUUUCCGUUACCGCUUGUAAACCGGUUCAUUAUGGCCACAUGACCAUGUGUCCGAUUGGGAGCAGCGUUUGUCACGUGAAUGACAGCGAGUCUGAUUAUACGAAAAAGUACCACGAUUAUGGACAGACGGACGCCAAUCCGACAAUUGAAGAGGGGAAACUCGUCAUGAAUCUCGCUUCCGCCGAGGACAAGUGCCAGAACUCGAAGAUCUUCUUCGAGUGCGACGAAGCGGCAACGGAUUUUGGGCCGGAAUAUCUGGGCAAGGAAGGCUGCACGCAUUUGUUCACGUGGCGAACGUCGUUAGCCUGCAAGAAGCGCGAGUUUUGUGCCGUCGUUGACCCGAACAGUGGGUUCGUGUUCAACAUGAGCUCGCUGGCUGGGAAGCAGAUUAAGCUGGUGGAGGCGAACAGGACGUACGAGUUUGCUAUUUGUAAAACGUCGGAUACGCAGUGUCCGGGAUCGUGCGAGAUCUCCUCGGUCAACUCCCAAACAGUUUCACUGGGGAACAUCAACGCCGAUCUCCAGUACAACAUUACCGGUGCGCCAUACCUGCGCUACGAAUCCGGCGCCGUCUGCAACCAGUCGAGCAACGUCCGCUGGUCAACCAAGAUCGAAUUCAUCUGCGAAACGGACAAGGGCCAGACCACCCCUCCGCCGAAGGUGGUCGAGAACACCGGAUGUGAACUGAUCGUACAGCUUGAGACGGAGCUGGCCUGUUUGCGAAACAUUUCCUGCUCCGCGAUGAACCUGUCGAACGACCGCGAACUCGACCUCACUCCGCUGAUUUCAUCUCAACGGAACUAUCUGGCCGAUGUCAACGACACGCUAACCGCCGUCAAAAAUAAGCAGCAAAAGUUCUUCCUCAACGUUUGCCGCCCUCUCCUCUCGGAGUUUGGCCUGGGAUGUCGCGGAGGUUCCGCGGCCUGUGUGGCCGAGCAGCGCCCCACAGACAAAACACCAACCAACGAGCUCUCACUCGGCUAUCCGGACGCAUCGCUGGUGGUCGUAGGCGAUCGUGCCCACCUCAAGUACCUACGCGGGGAUCACUGUCCGCAGGACAACGCCACCGACCUGUCGACGGAGAUCGAGUUUUACUGCGCGCCCAAAGCGGGUCACGGCAACCCGAUCCUGCAGGAAAUCCUCCACGACUGCCACUACCGGUUCGAGUGGCCAACGAACGUGAUAUGCCCGGGUGUGGUGGCGGAGUUCCGACCAAAGGCCUGUGAAGUAUUCAACGCUGAAACGGGUGCUACGAUCACGCUGCAGAAGAUCUUCGCUUCCGGGGAACUGCAGGUCAGCCCGAGCAAGGGCAGCGUUUCGGAGGAGCUGAAGCGCGGGAAAAUCCAACUUUGCGAUAAGAAUUUGACGGCGCUGGUCGAUUACAAGGAGCAAGCGCUAAAAGUGCACUUUACGGCGAAGGAUCCGAGCUGUGAGGGGACGGGAGGGAACAUCAACGUUAAUCUACACGUGGCCUGUGCUGCGAUCGAGAACUUUGAAGUAAACGAGCAAACUCCCUGCCAUCUGGUGGUGACGCAACUUUCGCCGCAGAUUUGUGACCUCGUUGGAGCUACGGCAGCGAGUGAUGGCGCAGGUAGCAGUACGGAGAAACCGGGUACGCCCCCGCCAACCAAGGGAACGUCAUCGACCACGACGACGACGACGCCGGACCCAAAGGACCAUGGCGGGGAUCCGAAGCAUCCUGCGGUGACCGAUGCCACCCCGGCGGAGGGUUCUUCUGGGGGAAGAGUUGGCGUCAUCCUCGCCGUCCUCACCCUGGUCUCGCUGGCCGGCGCCGGUGGUUUCCUGCUGCUGCGCAACCCGGAACGGCGCGAGUACCUGCGGUCCCUGUUCCGCGGCCGCAACGUGCUGGUGCAGUAUUCGAGGGAUGGCUUUGUUCAAUUUUAAGCAUAUUCUUUCCCUCAUCCACAAGUGUAUUGUGUUUUUUUUUGUAAAAUAUUUCAGUUUGUCCCAACCAAGUAAAGGGUUCGCACCAACGAGGAGGCCAGCCUGUUGAUGCAUCCGCCGGGGGCCCUCUCGGACAGCGACGAUGAGAUGCUGAUUUAAUCUGUGCGCG
rnacentral:misc_RNA from 1 species